rnacentral:rRNA from 1 species
GACGAACGCUGGCGGCGUGCUUAACACAUGCAAGUCGAACGGAAAGGCCUCUUUCGGGGGGUACUCGAGUGGCGAACGGGUGAGUAACACGUGAGUAACCUGCCCUUGACUUUGGGAUAACUUCAGGAAACUGGGGCUAAUACCGGAUAGGAGCUCCUGCUGCAUGGUGGGGGUUGGAAAGUUUCGGCGGUUGGGGAUGGACUCCCGGCUUAUCAGCUUGUUGGUGGGGUAGUGGCUUACCAAGGCUUUGACGGGUAGCCGGCCUGAGAGGGUGACCGGCCACAUUGGGACUGAGAUACGGCCCAGACUCCUACGGGAGGCAGCAGUGGGGAAUAUUGCACAAUGGGUGGAAGCCUGAUGCAGCAACGCCGUGUGCGGGAUGACGGCCUUCGGGUUGUAAACCGCUUUCGCUCAUGACGAAGCUUUGUGUGACGGUAGUGGGUAAAGAAGCACCGGCUAACUACGUG